UGAAAAUUGAAGGCCAUCGCUGUCAAAGAAACACUCAUUUUUUGGUUCUUCAGGUGCAAAUCUCAGCCUACUCUUUUAUUUGUUACAUGAUCAAUAUUUGUUGCUGCAUCAUGCUCCACGAAAAAGAAAGGAGCAGAUGAGAUUUCCUUUGCUUACUCCAUUCUUGUAAGCUCAGGGGAGCAUAUUCUAAGAGAUGACGAAG
rnacentral:lncRNA from 1 species